CACGUAGGCACCAAGCGUUGUCCGGAUUUAUUGGGCGUAAAGCGUGCGCAGGCGGUGAUGUAAGACAGGUGUGAAAUCCCCGGGCUUAACCUGGGAACUGCAUUUGUGACUGCAUCGCUGGAGUGCGGCAGAGGGGGAUGGAAUUCCGCGUGUAGCAGUGAAAUGCGUAGAUAUGCGGAGGAACACCGAUGGCGAAGGCAAUCCCCUGGGCCUGCACUGACGCUCAUGCACGAAAGCGUGGGGAGCAAACAGG
rnacentral:rRNA from 1 species